rnacentral:rRNA from 1 species
UACGGAGGGUGUAAGCGUUAUCCGGAAUCACUGGGUUUAAAGGGUGCGUAGGCGGUGGCGUAAGUCAGUUGUGAAAUUCCCCGGCUUAACCGGCGGGACUGCGAUUGAUACUGCGUCACUUGAAUCAGGAUGAGGUAGGCGGAAUGUGACAUGUAGCGGUGAAAUGCUUAGAUAUGUCAUAGAACACCGAUUGCGAAGGCAGCUUGCUGGACCUGUAUUGACGCUGAGGCACGAAAGCGUGGGGAGCAAACAGGAUUAGAUACCCUGGUAGUCCACGCCCUAAACGAUGUUUACUUGCUGUGCGGUCUUAGGAUUGCGUGGCGAAGCGAAAGCGAUAAGUAAACCACCUGGGGAGUACGCCGGCAACGGUGAA